rnacentral:rRNA from 1 species
AACGAACGCUGGCGGCGUGCUUAACACAUGCAAGUCGAACGCACCGCAAGGUGAGUGGCGCACGGGUGAGUAACGCGUGGGAAUCUACCUUUUGAUUCGGAAUAACAUCGGGAAACUGGUGCUAAUACCGGAUAAGCCCUUCGGGGGAAAGACUUAUCGUCAAAAGAUGAGCCCGCGUUGGAUUAGCUAGUUGGUGAGGUAACGGCUCACCAAGGCGACGAUCCAUAGCUGGUCUGAGAGGAUGAUCAGCCACACUGGGACUGAGACACGGCCCAGACUCCUACGGGAGGCAGCAGUGGGGAAUAUUGGACAAUGGGGGCAACCCUGAUCCAGCAACGCCGCGUGAGUGAUGAAGGUCUUCGGAUUGUAAAGCUCUUUUGGCAGGGACGAUGAUGACGGUACCUGCAGAAUAAGCUCCGGCUAACUUCGUGCCAGCCGCCGCAGUAA